UACAUACAAGAAGGAAAAUAAAAAAAAUGUGACAUCUUUAUCUUCACCGGCCCUCUCCAUCAUGCCCUAGGCGGCUAGGCCCUAGGUGUCUUCAAUCCAUGGCCGAUAUCCUUCCUUCAUAAAUCUAGAGUAGGUGGAUCGAAGAACAGGAUAACGAGAGCCUCUCUUCAUGGCAGGUGGAUCGAAGAACAAGACGGCUACAACCUCGGUUCGUUGAGCCGUACACGAGGCCACCACUCCAUCGAUCAGCACAUACUACAAGUACCUUCUGCCCUAUGUCGUACUGCAAGUAUACAACGUACUCUAGAUCAUAAGCGUCGCCUCCGAUUCAGCUCUAGAUGGCUGAAGCGUGCCAACCUGCAGCUCUUUGAUUCAUAUGCAGCUGCAGGCGGUUCGUAGGUAUAAACAAGGGGAUGAGCUAAUCAGGGGGUGAUUGGAGCUGGCAACAAGCUGGUGCACCGGUGGUGGAUCCCCUUUGGAGAUUUUUUGUCAAGUUUCCAUGGCGACUCUUGACACUUGAGAAGGCACAGGUGACGCAUUGCCGAAGGAGUCGCUCACUAAUCCCGUACUCAGAAUGGGAUUGGAAGAGUAGUGGCUCGCUAAUCCAGAUUUCCAUGUGAGAUUGAGUAAGUUAGGAUCAAAUUAAUGUGCUACCUAGCCGUGGUAGUACUCAGAAUGGGAUUAGAAGAGUCCUUCCAUUGCAAGAGCAAUGUCCUGCUUAAUGUAAUCAGUGUACGUACAAUUGGGGAUUAAUUAAUAGUACCAGAAUCAAUUUGCAAGUUGGCUGAUUUCAGCAAGACCAUGUUACUUCUGGUGGAGGGCGGGUCUGUGACUGGGCCUCCUUUUACAGGUUCGAUCAUCAAACUAGCAGAGAUGGAAACAUGGUUUAGCUUCUUUUUGUUAGCAGAGAGACGGGUAGAGGUUUUCCUUUUUGUGCACGCCUUGGUUUGUUAUAACGUUCAGUAAUGGAACAUUUUUUUUUCCAUAUAUAUAGCAUAUGUAGUUGAAGACUUUGAGAGUUUCAGUCACUUUCUGUUUUCCAUCAUUAAAGAGCAAGUACGUUAACAUAAUUUAUAUUUCACAUAUAGGCCUCUUUGUGCAGAUCAAAGGUGUUGCCACUUUGCUCUUCGUUCCUCUCAUAUUAUCCUCCAACAAUAUUACUUGACGCCAUGUCCAUCGUAUAUGGAGCAGGCAGCUUCCUCCCUACUUUGCCGGGCAUUGCUGGUGCUCCUCCCAUCCACCUCAAUGUGCACACCACUGAAGUAGAGGCGAAUCUGGUGUGUUGUCUGUUGAGGAAAAGCAUGCUGCCGUGUUAGGAGAGUACCAAGGAGUGCUUGCAAGGAUGGAAAGUUAUUUUGGUGAAACCUGGUGAUAUGUGAGGAAGAGCAACAAUCGGUACAAAUUUGUGAUACAUGUAGUUUUUAAGGCACAAUUUUUUCGUCUCAUACACAUGCCCUGUUAUAAAAGUGAUUUGUGUAACUAUUACUUGCUUUCUUAUGUUAUCCGUGAUUUGUUUUGGUAGUUCAUAGUAUCAUGUUGACACAAUAUUCAGUAUGAGAUCUGGAUGAUCUCAUCCCUAAGCAAUCAGGGAAUCACAGUAAAAUUCAUUGCUCUUUAAGGAAAGUACGAUUAUUGUUUGACAAUUUA